GCGAACGCUGGCGGCAGGCCUAACACAUGCAAGUCGAACGAACUCUUCGGAGUUAGCGGCGGACGGGUGAGUAACACGUGGGAACGUGCCUUUUGGUUCGGAAUAACUCAGGGAAACUUGUGCUAAUACCGAAUGUGCCCUUCGGGGGAAAGAUUUAUCGCCAUUAGAGCGGCCCGCGUCUGAUUAGCUAGUUGGUGAGGUAACGGCUCACCAAGGCGACGAUCAGUAGCUGGUCUGAGAGGAUGACCAGCCACACUGGGACUGAGACACGGCCCAGACUCCUACGGGAGGCAGCAGUGGGGAAUCUUGCGCAAUGGGCGAAAGCCUGACGCAGCCAUGCCGCGUGAAUGAUGAAGGUCUUAGGAUUGUAAAAUUCUUUCACCGGGGACGAUAAUGACGGUACCCGGAGAAGAAGCCCCGGCUAACUUCGUG
rnacentral:rRNA from 1 species